CCCAAGGAGGAUGGUCUUUCAGGAGGCAUGGAAAAUCUGAAGAUCUAAAGAUCCAACAGAAAAUACUUGGACCCAGAAAUGAAGUAGAAGCCUUGAAGACCAAAGGAUAUUCACCACAGGUGAAAUCCCUCUUAGCAGCUGGCUUAUGAAAUAAUGUGAAGGGAGGCCUUAAUGAGCAGAAAGCACCCUCAGCUGGAGAUAAAUAUAUGCAAAUGAGAUGCACAAACAAAGGAGCCUGGACAGAGAAAUAUCUGCAAUUCCAGCAAAAUGCUGCCUGCAGCUCGAAGAUGAACAGCUUUGAUAAAAUGUGAGAAAUAUUCCUCACAUGUGUUGAUGUCUCAGACAUAUCAAUCUGCAACAAGCAACUAGGAUAAAAAAUAGUUAAAAUGAAUCAACAUUUAUCUGGAAUAUACAGUCCUGACCCACCUCCCCCCCCAAAAAAAAAAGUCAUUUGUCUUCUGUGUCCUGUGAUGUUUUGAGGAUUCUGGCAAAUAUGGCAGUUAAACAAACUUCUCGCACAAUCUAAAUACAGUCUGUUCAAGAGAGGCUUCCAA